ensembl:lncRNA
AAACAUAGGAACUUGAUCUCCUGCAUGGUUCCAGGCAGGUUUUGGCCAGACAACCCACAGCUCUCCCACGAGUGCUGGGCACAGCCUGGGAACUGGCUUGGGCUACAAUAGCUGCUCAGCAAAUACCUGGACACAGCCACCUGUUUUGUAGGGACUCUGCUGAGCUGCUGUUUAUCUUACUGCUCCCAGACCAAAGACUUUCAAAACAGGUCCAGCUGCUUGGUGUCAGCUGUGACCUUCCAUUGGUCAUGAAUGUAUUCCUGAGCCCAAAAGCAUGGAGGUCCUGGAAACUCAUAUUUUUCAGAAUUAGCAAACAUGAGUUUCAUGCAUUAAAUGUUCACACCUCAUCUGUUGGAGGAUUCCUGUGUAAAGGUUUACAAUUUAUUUUGUUUUAUGAGAAUUUCCAACUCAGAAUGUCUGAAUCCUGAAGUGCCUUAUAAACAGAAGUGUUGUGAUGCAAGAUGACAGACAAAUGGACAUUCAGAACUCACAUAAUUUCUCAGCUGAAAACCAAAGAAAACACUGGGACUGCUAAGAUGAAAACAAGUACAUCUUCUUAGGCACUUUUAUUUCAUCUUGAAGAGCAACACUACCCUUAUGGCUUAUCUGCUACCAGUUAGCAUUUAACAUUUGAUGAAGAUCGACUAUAAAUAUAUUACAGCAAAUAUUGUCCUAUAUUUCUAUCAAUUUCCUCAAAUGUGUGUUCGUGCAACUGCUACUUAGUAUUCUGAAGCUGAUAAUUUUUAAUUCUGCACUACAUGUGUCAGCUUCUUUGAUAAAAAGCUCCAUGGACAUGGGAAGGAGUGCAGAAGAUCAAUGACAGAUGAAUAACGCCCAGCCCCAUCUCCUCCCAGACUGAUUCCUGGACAGCGUGCAGCCCAGUGACUAAGCCCAGUUACUGACAAUAUCCACACACCAUGCAUGUAUGUACAAUUCUACAGAAGGUGUUGAAGUAUCCAAAUAUAAACCACAUGUACCAUCACAGGCCUUGUAUUCUGAAAAUCACAGCAGCUGAAUACAUGACAGUGGCUCAGAGCCGCUCCUUGUCAUUGAGCAGUCUUAGAUAGACAACAAAUCUCAGAAAUGUUUGAAUUGGAGUUCAGUGGAGUUCAAAUCAAUGUCUUCCAUGUUUUGCACAGUGAAGACUGUGAGCAGCUCACUUUUCUUGGCAAAGAUAUCCAUAUAUAUGACCUCAGAGGAAGGGCUGGACUCUUACCUGUGUUGACUAUACACCAUCCCUACCUACAUCUUCAAAAUCUCUGCUACAAGUCUUAAGGUCAGAAUUCAAAGGACUUCAUUUCACAGUUUUCUCAGAGAUAGUGGAGCAUUAAGGAUGUAAAUUUUAGCAGUGUUUUUAAGCAAUAAUUGUUUUUCAAAGUUGUAUGGAGUUGUACUUCACAGCUAUCAUUCCUGCAUAGAUCAUCUUUGAAGUCUCUUCACAGAUUUGUACCAGCCUCACUAAAAAAACAAGGAAUGCUGAUUUACGUUUGACCUGACAGCCAUAAUCACUUCUUUCUGUAAGCUAUUAUUUCACGUGGAUAAAAAGGGUGAAUAUAUCUUGCAUAAUGUCAGUGGCAUUACAGUUGGAGAAUUUGGAGGGCAAGCUGAGCAAAGUAAACACUGACAACAUAGGUGAGAUUUAAUUUGUCCUGCAUUUGCAGUUAUUAAAAUACAUGUCUACAACAUAGAAUCCAUAACUCUGUCCUCAUACUUGAGCAGCUAUGUGAUAAACCAUAAAUCCUACACCACUCUGCUCCCUGUUUGCAGUUGCUGUUGAUUCCCAUGGAAAGGCAAUGGCACUUUAGGGAAAAAAAAUAACAGUGCUGCUCUAUUUGAGUACUUGAAAACAUUUCCCAUUUAUCUCCAGACAAGUCGAUCACUCAAAGGGACUUUCAAAUACCAAAAAAAUCAAUAGAGUAAUUUAUCAACUGCAUUUGUGCACAGCCACAGUCACAGGCAACUGCUGCUUAUGGUUGCUAUUUGUGAUUGUUGGUGUCUGAGAGAUCUUGAGAUAAAUAAAUAGAGCAGUCAUUAGGCCUUCUCUCAAAAGCUACACAUACACAAAUAUGCCCUGUAGUACUAAGAAUACAACAGAUCUUUAAAAUCAGGCCAACCAAAUAAUAUAUAGUCUGUCACCCUACUUCUUCAGCUGACAAGAUAUUUAUAGAGUAAUGAAUACUUUGAAUGCACCAAAAAAUGAGAAUAAGAGUUGCUGGAUUAUCAAACUACAGAAAAAUGUCUAAUCAGUUCAUCUUGUCUCCCUAGAGCUCUUUUAGUCACAGUGCUUUUAAGAUCUUUUCUCAAAUAUAUUACUUUGGAUGAAUUUUUAAGAAAAUGGAAUUUUAAAGGAUAGAAGAGCCAGAUCUGGAUGUGAUGUUUGUUUGGAAAAGAAAACGAUCACCAGCUGUGUCUGCUAUUUCGAAUGCUUUGAAGGAAACUAUCUUUAACUCACAGAACAGGUUUGCAUUUGGUACUCUGCAUGCAUUCUGCACUCUGGACGGCAGUGGGAGAUCACAAGGAUGACCAUACCACACAGCUCCUCACAGCAGCCAGCAGGAGACUUCAGCUGUGUUUCACAGAUGCACUUUGGAGCUUCUGUUUUUCUUAGAAAUUGAUAGAAAAUGUGAAAACUAGACCCUGGAUUAAAAAAUCACCAUGUUUCUGUGUUCU